rnacentral:lncRNA from 13 species
UAAAUACUAACUGAGAUCAACAGGGCCAGUCAUCACAGGAUAAAUACUAACUGAGAUCAACAGGGCCAGUCAUCACAGGGUAAAUACUAACUGAGAUCAACAGGGCCAGUCAUCACAGGGUAAAUACUAACUGAGAUCAACAGGGCCAGUCAUCACAGGAUAAAUACUAACUGAGAUCAACAGGGCCAGUCAUCACAGGGUAAAUACUAACUGAGAUCAACAGGGCCAGUCAUCACAGGGUAAAUACUAACUGAGAUCAAGGGAUAUAAAGUAGGUGUUUAUGUGUAACUCUGUGUUGUUGUUUUUGUCGCACUGCUUUGUUUAUUUUGGCCAGGUUUCUGUUGUAAAUUAGAACUUCUUCUCAACUGGCCUACCUGGUUAAAUAAAGGUGUUCUCAACUGGCCUACCUGGUUAAAUAAAGGUGUUCUCAACUGGCCUACCUGGUUAAAUAAAGGUGUUCUCAACUGGCCUACCUGAUUAAAUAAAGGUGUUCUCAACUGGCCUACCUGAUUAAAUAAAGGUGUUCUCAACUGGCCUACCUGGUUAAAUAAAGGUGUUCUCAACUGGCCUACCUGAUUAAAUAAAGGUGUUCUCAACUGGCCUACCUGAUUAAAUAAAGGUGUUCUCAACUGGCCUACCUGAUUAAAUAAAGGUGAAAUAAAAAAAUAUAUAUAUUUUAAAAUAUAUAAGAAAUGCUUAUGUGAUAAUAAAUGGAUGUGUAGUAUGUUUAUGAGUGUUAUGAAAUUAUUAUGUAGGUACCUUUCAGAUAAGGUGUUUAUCAAAAUAAUGAUCUAGUUCUCUCCAACAGAUACAAGUGAGGAAAGGAUACUGUCGAUACAGGAUUCAGGCCCCCAGUCCUAUGUGGUAUUGGGAGUCGAUACAGGAUUCAGGCCCCCAGUCCUACGUGGUAUUGGGAGUCGAUACAGGAUUCAGGCCCCCAGUCCUACGUGGUAUUGGGAGUCGAUACAGUCUUAUGUGGUAUUGUGAGUCGAUACAGGAUUCAGGCCCCCAGUCCUAUGUGGUAUUGGGAGUCGAUACAGGAUUCAGGCUCCCAGUCCUAUGUGGAAUUGGGAGUCGAUACAGGAUUCAGGCCCCCAGUCCUAUGUGGUAUUGGGAGUCGAUACAGGAUUAAGGCCCCCAGUCCUAUGUGGUAUUGUGAGUCGAUACAGGAUUCAGGCCCCCAGUCCUAUGUGGUAUUGUGAGUCGAUACUGUCUUAUGUGUUUAACAGUAAAAAAGUAAACACUUAAUGUGUGUGUAAGGCCUUGACUGCAAUAACAAGCAUUCAGAAACACUCACCCUCUAAAAACAAGUAUCUCACCAUUGCCGCCUGCUAUAGACCACCCUCUGCCCCCAGCUGUGCUCUGGACACCAUAUGUGAACUGAUUGCCCCCCCAUCUAUCUUCAGAGCUUGUGCUGC